CUCACAGCAACGCUGGAUCCUUAACCCACUGAGUGAGGCCAGGGGUCGAACCCACAACCUCAUGGUUCCUAGUUGGAUUAAUUUCCGCUGUGCCGCAAUGGGAACUCCUAAUCGUUUUCUUUAUGGUUGGUGUUUGUGUGUCCUCUUUAAGAAACUUUUGCAUAACCCAAUGAAGAUAUCCCCUUGUUUUCUUCUAGAAGCUUUGUUUUUGCCUUUUCUGAUUGUUUGAUUCUUCAUACACAGGGAAUUGAUAUUUAUGUUUGAUGUUAAUGUCACUGAAUUCAGAUUUGGCUGCUCGUUGCUCGAGAAUCCAAUACUGAGAGACAAGUGUUGGGUAAGAUGCUUUAUUGUGGAAGCUGGCAGUCUUGGCGAGGAGGCAGACUCAUGUCCCAAAGAACCAACUUCCCAUUGUUGAUCAGGGGGGCCCACGGCUCCUUCGGCGAUAACCUUCCUCCUUGAUCGUGUAAGAGGCCACCGAUGACCCGUGACCGACGACUUGCUUUGCACACGGAGAUCUGGGUUGUGUCAAGCCAUUGGACCUAUAACCCUUCGUCUCGAAAGCUGGUGUUACUGUGCCUUGGCCUCUAAAGGGCAGGACAGUCCUCGGAGCUGUUUGAAAGACUGUUUCCCGGGUUGUCAUCCUCACGGUGGCUCGAAUGAACUUUUCCAUUUCUUUCUUAGAUCGACUAUGGAUUCAUUUUUUUUCAUCAAUGGUGGUUAAGGACCCGGGCCCCCAUCGAGGCCGUUGGUCAUCGGCCAGCCACAGGCCUGCAUCCCGGACAGGCACUGUCCCCGGGAGGCCUGGCCGGGGCUGUGUCUAGCCUUUGGCAGGGCAGCUGGGCCUUUGGAGAAGCCACUUGGCAAGAUGGGACAUGCUGGGGACACAUUCGCCCUCCCAAACCAAGGAGGCGGGAGGACGCCCCGUGCCCAGGAGUCUCAUCAUCUUGCUUGGUCUCGAUGCUGCCUUUCGACGGGGGACCCCAGAAGAAGGAGCUGGGGGGGAUCCUUGGGCAGCCCCCACAAGCUGCCACACAGCAUCUGAGCUUUGCAAGAUGGUCCCACUGUGUUGAAAACAACCACUACCCCGGUACACACGCUAAGGAAGCCAAGAAGUCAAACGAGAUCUACCGGGCUGAGCUCCCGCUAUGAAUCUGGCAGCCCGUCCACCCUGAGAACAGGCUUUGCAGCAGUGAUUAUGCUUAUUUCUGCUUCAGAGAGGUGAAGCGAUUCACCCAAGGUCCCACAGUGGCAGGGCCGGCGGGGGUAACCCCAGGAGAUCCAGGCCAAACCUUCCCCCCCGACAGCCGACAGCCGAGCCCCAGCCCAUGAGACUGACUCCAGGCAGGAAGGGAGAUGUUUUAGGCCCCAAGGGAGGGCUCAGGGAAGCCGCCUCCUUCCUCCCCCCACCAAAGAAUCCAAAUCUCCCUUGGGGUGGGCCACACCCUGCCGCCACCUCGGCCUUUCCUGCAGGUGGGGCAGGGAGUCUCAUUCCAGCUUCAGGAGGAAAAAGCUGAGGCUCAGAGAGGGCAAGGGGCUUGGCCAGGACCACACAGGCUCAGGGGCAGGACUUGGACCCAGGCCUCCGGAGGCUGAAGACAGAGAGGCAGCAGGAGUGGGUCCAGCCAGGUCUGGGGCUGGGCAGUGAUGCUGGGUCAACCCUACCCGGCUCAGGGGGUGGUAAGGGCCAGCCAUCUGGCCCACGAAGCUGGGGAGGGUGGACAAAGGACAGGGCUGGGGGAGCAGCAGAGGGGCCCCUGCAAGUCCCUGAGUCCGAGUCCUGCCAGGCUGUGAAUCCAGGGGAACUGGCUUUGACCAAGGGAGCAACGUGGUGAAUGCAGGGGCCCCAGGAGCUCAGAGCAGGUGUCUGAACAUUGCAGUCUUGUGAAAACGUAUCUAGGUUUAGAUUAGCUUUAUUUACCCUGCUUGAUACGUGUUGUGAUUUCUAUGCGUGUAGAUUCAUAACUUGUACCAUUUCUGGAAAAUUCUCAGCCGUCAUCUCUUCAUUGGCCACUUCUCCUCUGACCCGGCCCUCGGGGACUCAGGUCAGACCUGCUCUUUUCCGUGUUUUCCAUGCCCCUGUGCCGUGUUCUGAGCGAUUUCUUCAUAUUUCUCUCCCAGCUCUGCCCUCCAGCUAAUUCUCUUUUUUGUCUAAUCCGCUGUUUAAGGCCCUCUGCAGUGAGAAUUUAAUUUUUAAAAAUUGUAUAUUUAAAGGCUACGUGUUCUAAUUAAUUUGAUUUUAAUCAACCUGACCAAUUUGCCUGCUCUCUUGUUCCCUGCUCACUGGUUUUAUCCCGUAUUUUAUAUUUCUAAAAGUUUGAAACUUGGUGGUUUUAUAUUCUAAGAACUGAUAGCAACUACCUGCAGUCCUCCGUGUGGGGCGGGGUUAGGCUUACCUUUCUUGUGCAUUAUUUCAGUUCUCACUCGGUGUGUGCCUGUGUUUUGUAAAUUGAUAUAUUAUUGAAUUGAAGCUGGAAACCCAGAGAGUUCUAAAUAGAGGAUGCUUCGCUCCAAA